AAAAUAAGAAAUUAAAAGAAGAAAAUCGACGAUUAAAUGAAAAAUCGAAGAUGCUACAAUAUCAAAAGUCAUUGCACAAGACGAUAAAAAAACCACACAAUAGAAUGUUGAUGAAGUUGCCAUAUCAAUAGAAAAAAGUCAACCAGAAGCAAGUGUUGCAGAGCAAUCACAAGAAAGUAAAGAGAUAUCGACACAAGAAACACAAGAAAUCAAGCGAGAAGAGGUACAAGUGCGGGAAGAUCAAGACAAUUAUAGUAUUAUAGAAAUCGCGGUACUCGCGGCCGCGGUAAUCGUGGCCGCGGUAAUCGUGGUCGUG